UACGAGUGCCUCAAGCGUUAUCCGGAAUUAUUGGGCGUAAAGGGUGUGUAGGCGGUCUUAUUAGUCGUGCGUUAAAACCAGGAGCUCAACUCCUGAUCUGCGCAGGAAACGGUAAGACUUGAGUGCGCGAGAGGUUUGCAGAACUCAUGGUGUAGGGGUGAAAUCCGUUGAUAUCAUGGGGAAUACCAAAUGCGAAGGCAGCAAACUGGCGCGUCACUGACGCUGAAACACGAAAGCGUGGGUAGCGAAUGGG
rnacentral:rRNA from 1 species